rnacentral:rRNA from 1 species
ACGGGAGGCAGCAGUGGGGGAUAUUGCACAAUGGGCGCAAGCCUGAUGCAGCAACGCCGCGUGAGGGAAGACGGUUUUCGGAUUGUAAACCUCUGUUCUUGGUGAAGAUAAUGACGGUAGCCAAGGAGGAAGCCACGGCUAACUACGUGCCAGCAGCCGCGGUAAUACGUAGGUGGCAAGCGUUGUCCGGAAUUACUGGGUGUAAAGGGAGCGCAGGCGGGACGGCAAGUUGGAUGUGAAAUACCGCAGCUUAACUGCGGAGCUGCAUCCAAAACUGUCGUUCUUGAGUGGAGCAGAGGCAGGCGGAAUUCCGAGUGUAGCGGUGAAAUGCGUAGAUACUCGGAGGAACACCAGUGGCGAAGGCGGCCUACUGGGCUUUAACUGACGCUGAGGCUCGAAAGUGUGGGGAGCAAACAGGAUUAGAUACCCUGGUA